rnacentral:lncRNA from 1 species
GAGUGUUUUUUUUAAGUCUAGUAAUCAUGCCACUACAGUAGCAGAAGAUGGCUUUCUUAAGGACUUGACUAUGUCUAUCAUCCUAACAAUUUGUGAAUCAUUAAGAGAGAGAAAACGUACACACGCAUAUAUAUUUCAAGAGAGAAAGGAAAGUUAUUGGGAUGUUAUAACAACUGAGAUUUUGGAAAGAUAAGUGGAUGAAGAAUAUUUUAAAAGAGUUGUGGUGUAUAAAAUUUGCAACCUCUUCUUGGCAUUUCCUGAUACUUCAUAUAUACAGCAUAUUUUUCACUCCAGUGACCAUCUGGCCUUCUAUAAACUCUACUAGUUAGGCAGAAAUAAUUCCACUUCCUGGAAUGGCAGAAUCAACAACCAAUAUGUAAUUAUGGAUGAGUGCAACAGCCCUUACAACCAGAACAAGUACUUGGAAAAAUUGUAAGUUUGCAUUAGGGCCUCAUUCUUUCUCCCUUAGUAUGCAACACACACACACA